rnacentral:rRNA from 1 species
AUUGCCCGCUGGCGGCAGGCCUAACACAUGCAAGUCGAACGAGUGGCGGACGGGUGAGUAAUGUCUGGGAAACUGCCUGAUGGAGGGGGAUAACUACUGGAAACGGUAGCUAAUACCGCAUACCAUCAGAUGUGCCCAGAUGGGAUUAGCUAGUGGGUGGGGUCCCGGCUCACCAAGGCGACGAUCCCUAGCUGGUCUGAGCGGAUGACCAGCCACACUGGAACUGAGACACGGUCCAGACUCCUACGGGAGGCAGCAGUGGGGAAUAUUGCACAAUUGGCGCAAGCCUGAUGCAGCCAUGCCGCGUGUAUGAAGAAGGCCUUCGGGUUGUAAAGUACUUUCAGCGGGGAGGCGUUACCCGCAGAAGAAGCACCGGCUAACUCCGUGCCAGCCGCCGCGGUAAUUC